rnacentral:misc_RNA from 1 species
GUAACCUUAUAAAUUUUCCUUUGAUCCAAUUACUUCAUAACAAUAUUGCAUUGAACGAAACAACUUGAACAAAUGAACCAAAAAACAAAGGAAAAAUUCAACAAAUCAGUUUCAGUUUUAUCUUCCAAGAGAAAAACUAUGUACAUCAAAUUCAGAUCCCUAAAGUCAUGUAGUUCCCAAGAGCUAUAAACAUAAGAACAUGUAGUUUCUCCAGCUUAACACCAAGAAGAAAAUUUCUCUGAAAACCUGUAGAUGUCAACUUUGACCCAAAAAGCUUCACCUUGUAUGCCAAAACUAAUAGCAAUUGUACAAGUGUUUCCUGUUCAUAUACUCUCUAGAUUUCCAUUUUUUACAACAAAAAUUCACAUAAAAAAUGUUUCUUUAGUGUUGUCAUUUUUCACACAGCGACGAUCCCACUUUCUCCAUUGAUUACCCAAAAUUAAAAUAAAUAACCACAAAAUUGGCAAGUGAUGGAGUGAUCAAUGACAGAAAUCCCAGUGACCUAUAUACCUUCGAUAUCAUUUUCAUGUAUAAGUUUGUUCAGAAGUGUAGUCAGCAGCGCAUCUCUCCUCUCAGCCCUGCUUUCUUCUCUUGUCCGCCUCUGUUCUUCCCUCUCCCUCCAAACCAGCUCAAUCAUUAAUCUCUCUUUCUCAAUUUUCUCCAUUGACUGUCUCCAUUCCAGCUCAAACAACCGUUGCUCAUUCGCACGCUUUUCCAUCAUCUCCCUCCACUGCAUCUCCAUCUGUUGUUGCUGCUGAAAGAACUCCUUGAGCAUUUCCUGAAUACCAAUAAUAUUAGGAUUUGAGGUGCUGGUUACUCUUGAAGGCAUCUCCAUUUGAAAUCUUUCACGCUUCCUCUUCUGGGAAUUGCUUCUAGCUAGCCUCUCCUCCCCACUACCAUCAUCAUCCUCAUCUUCAUCUUCUGAGAGUUCAUCAAAGGAUCUGUCCGCACUCAUUCUCUUUACCCGUUUCUUUGCCCGGGUAGAACCUGCCUCAGAAUCAAAAAGCAACGGCUGCAUGUUCUUUGCUCUUUCAGUAAAUACUGCAUGCAGUUCCUCAAAGAAUGGGCAAUGCAGACCAUUCUCGGGAUCAGAUGUCUCCUUGCCCUGCUUCAUCAAGAAAGAACAAAUGAUGUAUGCAAUAAUGGAACUGCGUAGAAAUUUCAAUACAUAUAUUAUAAAGAGAAAACAAAUUACACCAAAUAAGAAAAUAAACAAUAUAUAAAACCCCUUUUUUUUUAAGAAUUUAAGGUUAGAAAUUUAGCAGGUAGCCAGUACAACUGAUGUAGCAACCAUAGCAUGGCUGGAAAAGUUAUUUCUCCUCUGGAAACUGAAGUUGCACGUGUCAUAUCAUAUCAAAUGUUUCAUAAAUUAUAGUGAAAACGAUCAACAUAAGGAAAUAAAAGACUGAAGCAGCUAAUUGUACACAGCACAUUUCUAAGUAUUUUCAGCAGCAUAUCAUCAAAGAUUGUUACAGGAAAAUCAAAUAGUAGUAAGAUAUUUAAGGAUUUGGGCUCUUAAAUUAGUUACAAAUUUAAUGAUGAGCUGUGGUUGUCAAAAGAAAAGUGCUGCGGUUGUUACAUGGGCUACUAACUAAGGUAGCUGCAUCUUUGCCGGCAGCUCCAACUCCAACCUCCAAGUAUGCCAUUAAUAGCUGUUGAGAAUUGUCCAAUGAAUUCCUUGAUGCUAUAUUUUUUUGGAAGAAAAAAAAUGAAGUUAGCUUAUCAAAUUAUAGUAGUGCCUCCCCUUCCCUAAUCCAUCCCCAAUCAAGUGAUAAUCCAACUUCUAGAAUGAGAUCAUGAAUGGAAUUUCUGACAAAAUAUAAAAGAUGCUAAGAGGUUGAGGGCAAGGUUAACAACUCCACCAACGAACUAAACAUUAUAGAAACAUAACAACCUAUAGAAUAGAUACAUGCUACAACCCUUUCACAGAAGAUUGCUUCAAAUGGGAGAAUUGGCCUUUCAAGCUAUAUGCUUGCAAGAUGCAACCAAGAUUGGCAACUCUGUACUUUAAUAAGCAACCAAGAUUAAUAAAUUAAAAAAUCUUGCUAUUUAAAUGAUUAAGCAAGCAUAUUAAUAAACAACUGCAAAUAUAUAAUAUUUGGGUAAUCAUUCAAAUAGCAUGAUUAUCUCCAAUCAGGUGGCUGUUACAUAUUGUAGGAGAAAGAAGAAAAACAAUGAUAAACAAGUAGGGGGCUCGGGUAGUUAGUAAUUGGAGGGAAAUGUUGUUAGCUUGGAGGGGAAGAUUAGUUUUGGAUAACUGAAUUAGUAAUUGGAGGGA